rnacentral:rRNA from 1 species
AAUCAACGCUGGCGGCGUGCCUAACACAUGCAAGUCGAACGAGAAAGUGACUUCGGUCACUGGAUAGUGGCGUCCGGGUGAGUAACACGUAGGUAAUCUACCUUCGGGUGGGGAAUAACUCGCCGAAAGGCGAGCUAAUACCGCAUAAUGCAGCGGCACCUAAUGGUGAUUAGUUGUUAAAGCGGGGGAGUCUUCGGACCUCGCGCCUGAAGAGGAGCCUGCGGCAGAUAGCUAGUUGGUGAGGUAAUGGCUCACCAAGGCUUCGAUCUGUAGCUGGUCUGAGAGGACGGCCAGCCACACUGGCACUGACACACGGGCCAGACUCCUACGGGAGGCAGCAGU